AAUAGAUACCCAGGUAGUCCACGCCGUAAACGAUGAAUACUAGGUGUUGGGGCUCAUAAGAGCUUCGGUGCCGUCGCAAACGCAAUAAGUAUUCCACCUGGGGAGUACGUUCGCAAGAAUGAAACUCAAAGGAAUUGACGGGGGAUCCGCACAAGCGGUGGAGCAUGUGGUUUAAUUCGAAGCAACGCGAAGAACCUUACCAGGUCUUGACAUCCUGCUGACCGGACCUUAACCGGUCCUUUCCUUCGGGACAGCAGAGACAGGUGGUGCAUGGUUGUCGUCAGCUCGUGUCGUGAGAUGUUGGGUUAAGUCCCGCAACGAGCGCAACCCUUAUCUUUAGUAGCCAGCGGUUUGGCCGGGCACUCUAGAGAGACUGCCAGGGAUAACCUGGAGGAAGGCGGGGAUGACGUCAAAUCAUCAUGCCCCUUAUGAUCUGGGCUACACACGUGCUACAAUGGUGACUACAAAGAGAAGCAAGGUCGUGAGGCGAAGCAAAUCUCAAAAAGGUCAUCUCAGUUCGGAUUGU
rnacentral:rRNA from 1 species